AACGCACAUUGCGCCCUCUGGUAUUCCAGAGGGCAUGCCUGUUCGAGCGUCAUUUCAACCCUCAAGCCUAGCUUGGUGUUGGGGCAUUACCUUCCCUUACGGGAGGGUAAGCCCUGAAAUUCAGUGGCGAGCUCGCCAGGACUCCGAGCGUAGUAGUAAAACCCUCGCUUUGGACUGUACUGGCGCGGCCCUGCCGUAAAACCCCCAACUUCUGAAAAUUUGACCUCGGAUCAGGUAGGAAUACCCGCUGAACUUAA
rnacentral:misc_RNA from 2 species